GAUGAAGAACGUAGCGAAAUGCGAUAAGUAAUGUGAAUUGCAGAAUUCAGUGAAUCAUCGAAUCUUUGAACGCACAUUGCGCCCCUUGGUAUUCCGAGGGACAUGCCCGUUCGAGCGUCAUUAUACCCCUCAAGCCUAGCUUGGUGUUGGGGCCUGCUGUUACCGGCAGCCCUUAAAAUCAGUGGCGGUGCCAUCUGGCUCUAAGCGUAGUAAUACUUCUCGCUACAGGGUCCCGGUGGAUGCUUGCCAUCAACCCCUAAUUUUCUAUGGUUGACCUCGGAUCGGGUAGGGAUACCCGCUGAACUUAAGCAUAUCAAUAAGCGGAGGA
rnacentral:misc_RNA from 1 species